AGAACGAACGCUGGCGGCAUGCCUAACACAUGCAAGUCGAACGAGACCUUCGGGUCUAGUGGCGCACGGGUGCGUAACGCGUGGGAACCUGCCUUUAGGUUCGGAAUAACUCUCCGAAAGGGGUGCUAAUACCGAAUAAUGUCUUCGGACCAAAGAUUUAUCGCCUUUAGAUGGGCCCGCGUUGGAUUAGCUAGUUGGUGGGGUAAAGGCCUACCAAGGCGACGAUCCAUAGCUGGUCUGAGAGGAUGAUCAGCCACACUGGGACUGAGACACGGCCCAGACUCCUACGGGGGGCAGCAGUGGGGAAUAUUGGACAAUGGGCGCAAGCCUGAUCCAGCAAUGCCGCGUGAGUGAGGAAGGCCUUAGGGUUGUAAAGCUCUUUCACCCGCGACGAUGAUGACGGUAGCGGGAGAAGAAGCCCCGGCUAACUUCGUGCCAGCAGCCGC
rnacentral:rRNA from 1 species